AAGUAAUAAUUCAUAAAUAAUUUUUUAUUUUGGAAAAUAAUAAUAAUAAACAAAGCCAGCGCAAAAUGCAAUGCCCGCUGUACCUUAUCCCAUCCAUAUCUGACCCUUAAAAAUAUCCACCGCCGCCACCACCACGACGAUCACCACCGCCACAUCCCCAUCUCCCGCCAUUUGUUCACCAGCCAAUGGACAGUAACCAGCAAACUCAAUCCACCCCAUACCCACCUCAGCCUCCCACAUCCGCCAUUACCCCUCCUUCAUCCGCCACAGCAACUGCGCCUCCUUUCCACCACCUCCUUCAACAACAACAGCAACAGCUCCAAAUGUUUUGGUCAUACCAACGCCAAGAAAUCGAGCAAGUUAACGAUUUUAAGAACCACCAACUCCCAUUAGCUCGCAUUAAGAAGAUAAUGAAAGCCGACGAAGACGUCCGUAUGAUCUCCGCCGAGGCUCCCAUUCUCUUCGCCAAAGCUUGUGAGCUUUUCAUUUUGGAACUCACUAUCCGUUCUUGGCUUCACGCCGAGGAAAACAAGCGACGGACACUUCAGAAAAACGACAUCGCUGCGGCUAUUACGAGGACCGACAUUUUCGAUUUCUUGGUAGAUAUUGUGCCUAGGGAUGAGAUCAAGGAUGAAACUGCUUUGGCUCCGAUGGUCGGUGCUACCGCCAGUGGGGUACCUUACUUUUAUCCCCCUAUGGGUCAACCUGCUGGUGGUGGUCCUGGUGGGAUGAUGAUUGGCCGGCCUGCCGUCGAUCCCACUGGAGGUAUUUACGGUCAGCCACCUUCUCAGGCUUGGCAGAGUGUUUGGCAGACGGCGGGGACUGAUGAUGGCUCGUAUGGCAGUGGAGUAACCGGUGGUCAAGGGAAUCUUGACGGUCAAGGUGAAGUGGAUCGUGCUAGUGUUUAAGGAAUAUUUUCCUUUUGGUACCGGAAAAUGCCAAGUCCGGGUUUUCAGGAGUACGUUUUGCAGCUGUUGUCACUUAUAAGCCUCUUGCUAACCUAAAAUCAUGGGUCCGAUAUCGUACAGUGGAUGGUGUGGAAAACGCGUGGAACUCAGGUGAUCUACUGGGGAAUUUAUGCUUUUGUGCUUAUUGAUUUAUGAAUGCAGUUGUGUUGGUAUUGUUUAUGGGAAAAAAGAAAAGCUACCUUGAAUUUGAUGACACUUUUAUAGUAACUUGUUAAAAAAACAAACUCUUUUAACUCAUUUUUAGUGCAGCUAAAACAAUAUCUUGCUGCCAUGCCAUAUGACUUUGGUCCAAAUCAUAUUUAAUGUGCAGUUCUGUCUUAAUUCUUCCAAAAA